rnacentral:rRNA from 1 species
GACGAAGGAUGCAAGCGUUAUCCGGAUUCAUUGGGUUUAAGGGGAGCGUAGGUGGCCUUAUAAGUCAGUGGUGAAAUCUCGCAGCUUAACUGCGAAAUUGCCAUUGAUACUGUAGGGCUUGAGUACAGUUGCCGUUGGCGGAAUAUGACAUGUAGUGGUGAAAUGCGUAGAGAUCGGGAGGAACACCAGUGGCGAAGGCGGCUACCUGGACCAGCACUGACACUGAGGCACGAAAGCGUGGGGAGCAAACGGG